rnacentral:rRNA from 1 species
GUGAGGAAUAUUGCGCAAUGGAGGCAACUCUGACGCAGCCAUGCCGCGUGCAGGAAGAAGGCGCUACGCGUUGUAAACUGCUUUUAACCGGGAAGAAACCCCAGGACGUGUCCUGGGUUGACGGUACCGGAGGAAUAAGCACCGGCUAACUUCGUGCCAGCAGCCGCGGUAAUACGACGGGUGCAAGCGUUAUCCGGAUUCAUUGGGUUUAAAGGGUGCGUAGGCGGAGCGUCAAGUCAGUGGUGAAAUCCUGCAGCUUAACUGUAGACUUGCCAUUGAUACUGGCGCUCUUGAGUGCGCUUGAAGUGGGCGGAAUGUGCCGUGUAGCGGUGAAAUGCUUAGAUAUGGCACAGAACACCAAUUGCGAAGGCAGCUCACUAAGGCGAUACUGACGCUGAGGCACGAAAGCGUGGGGAUCGAACAGGAUUAGAAACCCGGGUAGUCC